GUGACGAAUUUUGCCGUUCUGCGAACAACGUACCUGCUGCACCAUUCCAGGCCGCUUGGUGCUCAUACUGUGGGCACAGCCCAGUACAACAUGCUCGAAUUGGGACAACCCAGGACGUGUAUUUCUCAGCACCCAGUCAACUGCCAGAAGUGACUCAUACACAGGCCGCCAGUGGCACUCAGCUGUACCACUGCACUGCUGCUGAAAUUGCCAGCACCAGCGGCUUUGUAACAGCUGUUUCACAGCAUCUCGGAGACAAUGGCUACGAAAUUAUUGGCCCUGAUGACGAGAGCCCUCAAGGGGCAAACGACAUCUCUGUUGCAGAAGUGAGCCCGAUACCACCUUAAGUUACCAUAACAGAUGACACGGCUGCAAUAGAUACAUAGACUGCCGUGUCUACUGCAGCUGCAACAGUGUACGAGGUAAGCAGCAGC